rnacentral:tRNA from 1 species
GUAACCGACCUUAGCUCAGUUGGUAGAGCGGAAGACUGUAGGCGUUGCAGAUAAUCUUUAGGUCGCUGGUUCGAUUCCGGCAGGUCGGAUUUUUUUU